CCGCUUUGGGAUGGGCUCGCGGUCUAUCAGCUUGUUGGUGGGGUAACGGCCUACCAAGGCGACGACGGAUAGCUGGUCUGAGAGGACGAUCAGCCACACUGGGACUGAGACACGGCCCAGACUCCUACGGGAGGCAGCAGUGGGGAAUCUUGCGCAAUGGGGGAAACCCUGACGCAGCGACGCCGCGUGCGGGACGAAGGCCUUCGGGUUGUAAACCGCUUUCAGCAGGGACGAAAUUGACGGUACCUGCAGAAGAAGGCCCGGCCAACUACGUGCCAGCAGCCGCGGUAAUACGUAGGGGCCUAGCGUUGUCCGGAAUUAUUGGGCGUAAAGAGCUCGUAGGCGGUUCGGCAAGUCGGAUGUGAAAUCUCCACGCUUAACGUGGAGGGGCCAUUCGAAACUGCUGUGACUCGAGUCCGGUAGGGGAGUGUGGAAUUCCCGGUGUAGCGGUGAAAUGCGCAGAUAUCGGGAGGAACACCAGUAGCGAAGGCGGCACUCUGGGCCGGUACUGACGCUGAGGAGCGAAAGCGUGGGGAGCGAACAGGAUUAGAUACCCUGGUAGUCCACGCCGUAAACGUUGGGCGCUAGGUGUGGGUCCCUUCACGGGGUCUGGUGCCGCAGCUAACGCAUAAGCGCCCC
rnacentral:rRNA from 1 species